rnacentral:rRNA from 1 species
AACGAACGCUGGCGGCAGGCCUAACACAUGCAAGUCGAGCGAGGACUUCGGUCCUAGCGGCGGACGGGUGAGUAACGCGUGGGAACGUGCCCUUUGCUACGGAAUAGCCCUGGGAAACUGGGAGUAAUACCGUAUGUGCCCUUUGGGGGAAAGAUUUAUCGGCAAAGGAUCGGCCCGCGUUGGAUUAGGUAGUUGGUGGGGUAAUGGCCUACCAAGCCGACGAUCCAUAGCUGGUUUGAGAGGAUGAUCAGCCACACUGGGACUGAGACACGGCCCAGACUCCUACGGGAAGCAGCAGUGGGGAAUCUUAGACAAUGGGGGAAACCCUGAUCUAGCCAUGCCGCGUGAGCGAUGAAGGCCUUAGGGUUGUAAAGCUCUUUCAGUGGGGAAGAUAAUGACGGUACCCACAGAAGAAGCCCCGGCUAACUCCGUGCCAGCCGCCGCCGUAAGAC